rnacentral:rRNA from 1 species
UGGGGAAUUUUGGACAAUGGGCGCAAGCCUGAUCCAGCAAUGCCGCGUGCAGGAUGAAGGCCUUCGGGUUGUAAACUGCUUUUGUACGGAACGAAAAGGCUCUGGUUAAUACCUGGGGCUCAUGACGGUACCUGAAGAAUAAGCACCGGCUAACUACGUGCCAGCAGCCGCGGUAAUACGUAGGGUGCAAGCGUUAAUCGGAAUUACUGGGCGUAAAGCGUGCGCAGGCGGUUAUGCAAGACAGAGGUGAAAUCCCCGGGCUCAACCUGGGAAUUGCCUUUGUGACGGCAAGGCUUGAGUGCGGCAGAGGGGGAUGGAAUUCCGCGUGUAGCAGUGAAAUGCGUAGAUAUGCGGAGGAACACCGAUGGCGAAGGCAAUCCCCUGGGCCUGCACUGACGCUCACGCACGAAAGCGUGGGGAGCAAACA